rnacentral:snRNA from 1 species
AUACAUUUUGUCAGAAGUGUAGAGUAUUGUGAGGCUUUCCCAUUGCACUCUGGAUGUGCUGACCCCGGCGAUUUCCCCAAAUGUGGGAAACUCAACUGCAUAAUUUGUGGUAGUGGGGGACUGCGUUCACUCUCUCCCCUU